rnacentral:rRNA from 1 species
CAGGUGGUGCAUGGCUGUCGUCAGCUCGUGUCGUGAGAUGUUGGGUUAAGUCCCGCAACGAGCGCAACCCUUGUCUUAUGUUGCCAGCACGUAAUGGUGGGGACUCGUAAGAGACUGCCGGGGUCCAACUCGGAGGAAGGUGGGGACGACGUCAAGUCAUCAUGCCCCUUAUGUCCAGGGCUUCACACAUGCUACAAUGGCCAGUACAGAGGGCUGCGAUACCGCGAGGUGGAGCGAAUCCCUUAAAGCUGGUCUCAGUUCGGAUUGGGGUCUGCAACUCGACCCCAUGAAGUCGGAGUCGCUAGUAAUCGCAGAUCAGCAACGCUGCGGUGAAUACGUUCCCGGGCCUUGUACACACCGCCCGUCACGUCAUGAAAGUCGGUAACACCCGAAGCCGGUGGCCUAACCCUUGUGGAGGGAGCCGUAGAAGGUGGAUCGGUGAUAGGUACG